rnacentral:rRNA from 1 species
AACGAACGCUGGCGGCAUGCCUAACACAUGCAAGUCGAACGAGACCUUCGGGUCUAGUGGCGCACGGGUGCGUAACGCGUGGGAACCUGCCCUUAGGUUCGGAAUAACUCCCCGAAAGGGGUGCUAAUACCAGAUAAUGUCUUCGGACCAAAGAUUUAUCGCCUUUGGAUGGGCCCGCGUUGGAUUAGCUAGUUGGUAGGGUAAAAGCCUACCAAGGCGACGAUCCAUAGCUGGUCUGAGAGGAUGAUCAGCCACACUGGGACUGAGACACGGCCCAGACUCCUACGGGAGGCAGCAGUGGGGAAUAUUGGACAAUGGGCGAAAGCCCGAUCCAGCAAUGCCGCGUGAGUGAUGAAGGCCUUAGGGUUGUAAAGCUCUUUUACCCGGGAUGAUAAUGACAGUACCGGGAGAAUAAGCUCCGGCUAACUCCGUG